UGACAGAGACGGGGUUGACCUUCGGGUCCUGACCUUAAGGCUCUCCACUUUCGAGUGGAUCUAACCCAUUUUUUUUUGGGCCUUUCUAAGAUUUUAUUGGGCCUCUCGCUACUAAAUUUCAUAACAUUAUUUUGGAACAACAUCCCAAAGUCAAUUCUCUAUUUCUUUCACAACUAUAGACGGCCAUAAACGAGGAGCACGUUGAAUGAUUAGU